rnacentral:rRNA from 1 species
CCUACGGGAGGCAGCAGUGAGGAAUAUUGGUCAAUGGGCGCGAGCCUGAACCAGCCAAGUCGCGUGAGGGAAGACGGUCCUAUGGAUUGUAAACCUCUUUUGUCGGGGAGCAAAAGACGCCACGCGUGGCGUUCCGAGAGUACCCGAAGAAAAAGCAUCGGCUAACUCCGUGCCAGCAGCCGCGGUAAUACGGAGGAUGCGAGCGUUGUUCGGAAUGACUGGGCGUAAAGGGUGCGUAGGCGGUUGUACAAGUUAGAAGUGAAAUACCCAGGGCUUAACUCGGGUGCUGCUUCUAAAACUGUAUGACUUGAGUGCAGUAGAGGUUAGUGGAAUUCCUAGUGUAGCGGUGGAAUGCGUAGAUAUUAGGAGGAACACCAGAGGCGAAGGCGGCUAACUGGACUGCAACUGACGCUGAGGCACGAAAGUGUGGGGAGCAAACAGGAUUAGAUACCCCUGUAGUC